UACGUAGGGUGCAAGCGUUGUCCGGAAUUAUUGGGCGUAAAGAGCUCGUAGGCGGUUUGUCGCGUCUGCUGUGAAAACGCGAGGCUCAACCUCGCGCCUGCAGUGGGUACGGGCAGACUAGAGUGCGGUAGGGGAGAUUGGAAUUCCUGGUGUAGCGGUGGAAUGCGCAGAUAUCAGGAGGAACACCGAUGGCGAAGGCAGAUCUCUGGGCCGUAACUGACGCUGAGGAGCGAAAGCGUGGGGAG
rnacentral:rRNA from 1 species